ACAUGACUCUCGGCAACGGAUAUCUCGGCUCUCGCAUCGAUGAAGAACGUAGCGAAAUGCGAUACCUGGUGUGAAUUGCAGAAUCCCGCGAACCAUCGAGUCUUUGAACGCAAGUUGCGCCCGAGACCAUUCGGUCGAGGGCACGCCUGCCUGGGCGUCAC
rnacentral:rRNA from 1 species